rnacentral:rRNA from 1 species
UACAGAGGGUGCGAGCGUUGUCCGGAAUCACUGGGCGUAAAGGGCGCGUAGGCGGCCCGGUAAGUAGGGGGUGAAAUCUCGCGGCUCAACUGCGAGGCUGCCUCCUAGACUGCGGGGCUGGAGCACGGUAGAGGCAGGUGGAAUUCCCGGUGUAGCGGUGGAAUGCGUAGAGAUCGGGAAGAACAUCGGUGGCGAAGGCGGCCUGCUGGGCCGUUGCUGACGCUGAGGCGCGACAGCGUGGGGAGCAAAC